GGUUUGUAUUAGGGUGCCGUUGCGGCUGCUCUCUUUCGUCCCACAAUGGCGGCUGCUCUCUUUCGUCCCACAAUGGCGGCUGCGACGCUCCGCUCCGUACUCCGCCGCAAUAGCCUCCUGCCCCUGUUCGAAACCUGCCGCCUUCGAGAUCUCCUCUUCUUCUCCUCCUCCUCUGUCGACCCUGCCGCCGCUGUAGGCGGCACCAUAUCUCCAGAUCCCAACUUCAUGGUGGAAUACCUCGUGAACUCCUGUGGGUUCUCCCCCUCCGAGGCAGCCAAGUUCUCUAAACCCCUUGCGCGCCUCCGAUCCACGGAGAAACCCGACGCCGUCGUUAACUUCAUGAGAUCUAAGGGCUUCGAUGGCGCCGGUAUCAGGAAGGUGAUAUCUUGGAAUCCCAGUCACCUAUGCGUGAACGUGGAGAAGAACUUGGCCCCGAAGUUUCAGUUCUUACGCGAUUUGGGCCUAUCGGAGUCGGAUAUCGUCGAUGCCAUCCUGAAGAACGAUGCCAUCCUGCGCCUCGACGUUCACCGUUCCUUGGUCCCCAAAUUGGAGAUGUGGGAAAGUCUCUUGGGAUCGAGAGAGCUCGUUCUCAAGCAUCUCAAGAAGACAAGAUGGUUUUUCUUCUCCAGCGUUGAGAAGACAUUGCAUCCUAACCUAAAGUUCUUGAGGGAUGAGUGCGGCAUUCCUGAAGAAAGGGUCUCUGUCGUCUUGAGAAAUCGCCCACAAUUAAUCUCACAGAAACCAGAGUCUCUCCGAGCUUUGGUGGUGAGAGCCGAUGAGCUGGGGAUGCCACGGCAAUCUCGGAUGUUCAUGUGGACCCUUACUGUUUUCCACAACGUAAGCAAAGAAAGGUUCGAGGCCAAGGUCGAGCUCAUGAGGAGCUUCGGGUGGUCGGAGUCGGAGUUUUCUUCUGCUGUCAGGAGAGCACCCACCUUCUUAGGCAUCUCCCUCGAUCUGUUGAGCAGAAAAGUGGAUUUUUUUAUCAAUGUGGUCGGUUACACCCCUUCCUUCAUCGCCGACAAAUCAUAUCUCUUGCUAUUUAGUCUGCAGAAGGUGGUAAUUCCUCGGUUUCGUGUCACAGAGAUGUUGAAAUCGAAAGGAUUGUGGACUGGACAAGGCAAGUUUUCAUGCAUUCUCACAUUAUCAGAUACCAAAUUCAUUGAGAAGUUUGUUCUCCCUCACAAAGAAAAUGUUCCUGAGCUGCUUGAUAUUUUGAGAGUUGCGGGCGUGUGUAAAGGAAAAUGAUACCUUUCAUUUGGUAUCGGAUGAUGAGAAAGGGCUUAGCUGGUGGUCUAAUUUGCCAACGACGAAGUAUGCAGUGGCUUCAAUGGAGUUUGAAAGAGCAGUUGCAUUGGGUUGAUCAGGAGUCACCAGCUUUAGCACUAAAUUUGUUUCAAGUUUGUAUAGACUUUUCUCUGAGCAUCAAAACUUGAGUAUGCUAUCCUGAAAUGUCUUCGGCCUCAUUUGGAAUUGUUAAAGCUUUUCCUGCAUCAACAAAUUCUGACUUGCCUCCGGGGGCUUCAGCUCAUCCACCCUUUGUGAUUUGGUUAGCAGAUCUCUUCAUUCUUGGAGUCUGUGGUCUAUGUUUCCCUCGUCAUGAAUGGCUUGGCCCAAUGGCAAGUCAAUUUAGGCAGAAUUAUAAAUUCCCUAUUUUUCUGGUCUUCUAAUUAUGGAUCACAUUUUGGGAGAAAGGUAUGCACAAUGCACAUUCCAUUGUGCAUAUCUUUAUUAUCACAUUUCAAAUAGGAUCAUAAGAAUAUCAAUAAUCUUUAUCAAUGCGUGAGAUGUGUUCUGAAUUUUGACAUCAGUUGUUCCAUCUCUACAGAGAAUCUGUGCAUGAGUUGUAGAAGUGAUAGAACUUCCAAGUUCAUCAAGAUUAUUGGGAAGAUAUGCAAAAAUUCUUUUUUCUUUA